AGUCGCGUGGCCGAAUGGACAAGGGGUCUGACUUCGUAUCAGAAGAUUGCGAGUUCGUGUCCCGUCGUGGUCG
rnacentral:tRNA from 1 species